AUGGACCCCUGGCGGAAAAAGUUUCCCGUGGAGAGCAAGAACUGCAGCAGCCGGAGUCAUGUGUUUAGAAACUUUCUUUCCCUCUUUGACCGAAUAUUAGUUGAAAGGAGUGCUGCGGAAACUGUAACCAAAGGAGGCAUUGUGCUUCCAGAAAAAUCUCCAGGAAAAGUAUUGCAGGCAAUAGUAGUAGCUGUUGGAUCGGGCUCCAAAGGAAGGGGUGGAGAGAGCCAACCAGUUAGCGUGAAAGUUGGAGAUAAAGUUCGUCUUGCAGAAUAUAGAGGCGCCAAAGUCAUUCUAGACGGCAAGGAUUAUUUCUUAUUUAGAGAUGGUGACAUUCUUGGAAAGUAUGUAGACUGA